GUGCUUGCUUUGGCAGGACGUAUACUAAAAUUGGAAUGAUGCAGAGAAGAUUAGCAGGCCCCUGUGCAAGGAUGACAUGCAAAUUCAUGGAACAUUCCAUAUUUAA